rnacentral:rRNA from 1 species
GUAGUCAUAUGCUUGUCUCAAAGAUUAAGCCAUGCAUGUCUAAGUAUAAGCAAUUAUACCGCGAAACUGCGAAUGGCUCAUUAUAUAAGUUAUCGUUUAUUUGAUAGUACCUUACUACUUGGAUAACCGUGGUAAUUCUAGAGCUAAUACAUGCUAAAAAUCCCGACUUCGGAAGGGAUGUAUUUAUUAGAUUAAAAACCAAUGCCCUCCGGGGCUCACUGGUGAUUCAUGAUAACUUCUCGAAUCGCAUGGCCUUGCGCCGGCGAUGGUUCAUUCAAAUUUCUUCCCUAUCAACUUUCGAUGUUUGGGUAUUGGCCAAACAUGGUUGCAACGGGUAACGGGGAAU